UUUGAACCUGCGGAAGGAUCAUUACCGAGUGAGGGUGUUACUCGCGCCCGUCUCUCCAACCCUGAAUAUCCUAUCUCUGUUGCUUUGGCGGGUCGUGUCGCCGAGCUCGUCUCGGCGGCCGUCGUACCCGCCAAUAGCCCCCCAAAACACGUCUUGAACAAUGUAGUCUGAAGAUAUACAUUAAUUGCUGAAAACUUUCAACAACGGAUCUCUUGGUUCCAGCAUCGAUGAAGAACGCAGCGAAUUGCGAUAAGUAAUGUGAAUUGCAGAAUUCAGUGAAUCAUCGAGUCUUUGAACGCACAUUGCGCCCCCUGGCAUUCCGGAGGGCACGCCUGUUCGAGCGUCAUUACGCACCUCAAGCUCUGCUUGGUUAUGGGCGCCCGUCUCAGCGAGACUCGCCCGAAAAUUAGCGGCGACGUCGUCCGUCCCCGAGCGCAUUAACUUUACUGACUCGCUCCGGUGGACCUGGCGGUGCCUGCCGGGCAACUCCAGUGCGGCAGCACUCCAAAAUUGACCUCGGAUCAGGCGGGAAUACCCGCUGAACUUAA
rnacentral:rRNA from 1 species